UCCUUUGGCUAGAGCCAGAUCUCCCUGCAGUUCCCACCUGGUUUCCCACUGAAGCUAAGCAGCCUAGCCAGGACCUGGAUGGGAGACCUCCUGGGGAAAACUAAGGUUGCUGUUGGAA
rnacentral:rRNA from 1 species